ACAGUAAACACAAUUUCUAACAGAACACAAAGAAAAGGAGCAUGGCCGGCAUAAGUACUAGGUUAGUUCUGCGCUCCGUGCGGGUCGGGUCGACAAGAUUCGCGGCCGUUGCCAAACCCAACAAGUCCCCUCUUCACCUCCCUAACCAAAAACCCCAAUUUUCACUAAUUUCAAGGAUGCCAGUUGAGAUGAGCUCUGCUGUUAUGAGAACAAUGCUGCCAUUCCAUACAGCUACGGCUUCUGUGUCGCUCACUUCUAUGCUUUCUGUCUCUCCCCGGUUCUAUAUUUGGACCCUUGAAGAUUCCUGACCGUGACUUGCCGAGACGGCUGCAUUUGUCGGCAGUUCAAUUGCAUGUCGGGAGAAUGCUCUAAUGAUGCAACAUCAGGCGGUGCUAUGCUAAGUUAUAACUAGGAAAGAAAUCAACUUGCCAAGCAACUUUUUGAGAAUGCAAGCGGCAUUAACAGAAUGAGAUUCACGAACCAUUUUUGUAUUAACUUUCAGAGGCAUUUACCAAAUUGUUUAUUUAUAAAAUGUGUAAAAUACGUGUUUCUCCUAGGCUUUAAAGAUUGAUUAUUUUUUUUUUGAAAGGAUCUUUAAAGAUUGAUUAUAUGCCACAGAUUGCAUGUAAUUAUAGGCUGCAAACGGUGUUUAUUCACUUUUUUACACCUUAUAAAAUGGCGUGCAUACUAUCAGCUACACCUUGUUUCCCACAA